rnacentral:misc_RNA from 1 species
UGACGCUAGCACAGAUUUGACAUUUGUACCAAAUAUUUGUAGAGUUCAUUUGUGUUUGUAUUCUGUGUGUUUCUUAUUCGGGGCCGCUGUGUGAGAAAAUAUUUGCCGGAAACACAAUAUGACAAGAACUUGUAUGAACUAUACAAACAUUUAUCAUGGACGGAAGUCAUAACCGUUAACCAGCAGCCACUAGUGGCCACUGUCAACAGGUUGAACUGCGGUCGCCGUGGCGGCGGUCAGAGUAGCAAAAGUGGAGCAAGCAGUCUAGCUUCUAAAUAAAGUUAAAAAUAUACAUUGGGAGUUUGAGACCAGCGCUGAAAUCAGGUUUACCAAAAGAAAACAAAUGUGCAAGUGCAUUAUCGUGUUGUUUUUAAUUUUAGCGCACACAAACACGUAAGUGUUACUUAGUAUAUUUUUUUCAUAUUGGCAGCCAUCUUGAAAGACAUUAAAUUUAACUAGCAUUAGUAUAAUUUUGCGUAUAAAGUGUCCAGUUUUGUCUGGAAACCACAAAAAUUUAAGCGAAGCCUAAUAGAAAAUGCUUCAAACGUUUUUUAUUAGAAAACAACAAUAGAAAUACA